GACGAACGCUGGCGGCGUGCCUAAUACAUGCAAGUAGAACGCUGAAGGAGGAGCUUGCUUCUCUGGAUGAGUUGCGAACGGGUGAGUAACGCGUAGGUAACCUGCCUGGUAGCGGGGGAUAACUAUUGGAAACGAUAGCUAAUACCGCAUAAGAGUAGAUGUCGCAUGACAUUUGCUUAAAAGGUGCAAUUGCAUCACUACCAGAUGGACCUGCGUUGUAUUAGCUAGUUGGUGAGGUAACGGCUCACCAAGGCAACGAUACAUAGCCGACCUGAGAGGGGGAUCGGCCACACUGGGACUGAGACACGGCCCAGACUCCUACGGGAGGCAGCAGUAGGGAAUCUUCGGCAAGAGACGGAAGUCUGACCGAGCAACGCCGCGUGAGUGAAGAAGGUUUUCGGAUCGUAAAGCUCUGUUGUAAGAGAAGAACGAGUGUGAGAGUGGAAAGUUCACACUGUGACGGUAUCUUACCAGAAAGGGACGGCUAACUACGUG
rnacentral:rRNA from 1 species